rnacentral:rRNA from 1 species
AUAGCCUAAAGAAUUAUUUUAGGUCAGGCCUGCCCAAUGUUAAAAAUGAAUGGCCGCAGUACUUUAACUGUGCAAAGGUAGCAUAAUCAAUUGGCCUUUAAAUGGGGUCUUGCAUGAAAGGAGAAACGUGGUAAAACUGUCUCAAUUUUGUUUUAUUUAACUUACUUAGAAGGUGAAAAAUCCUCCGGCAUGAAAAAAGACGAGAAGACCCUUAGAGUUUUUAUAAAAGCUUAUAUAAUAAGCUAAAUUUUUGUUGGGGCGACAAGGAAACAAAAAACUUUCCUGUUCUUACUAGACAGAAUUUUCGAGUAAGAUUAAACUACCUAAGGGAUAACAGCAUAAUUCUUUUUGAGUUUGUGACCUCGAUGUUGGACUAAGGAAUUUUCCAGACUAGCCGUCUGCUUUUAUGGCUCUGUUCGAGCUU